rnacentral:lncRNA from 1 species
UUGAGCUGGAGGAGGGCAGGGUGAGGUUGGAUGCCGGGGGGAAGCUCUUUGCGAUGAGAGCGGCGCGGUGCUGGCACAGCUGCACAGAGAGGGGUGGGUGCCCCGUCCCUGGGGUGCUCAGGACCAGGCGGGAUGGGGCCCUGGGCAGCCUGGAGCUGCCACGCCUGGAGCCUGGCGGCCCUGCCUGUGGUGGGAGUUGGAGCCUGAUGAUCCUUGAGGUCCCUUCCAGCCCAACCAUCCUAUGAUCCUAUGAUGGUUCUAUGAAUUGCAGGCGCUGCGGGGAACCGGAGGGCGCAGGGGCAGUGCUUCGGGAACUUGGCGUACGCCUUCAGCCAGCUCGGGGAGCACGAGGCCGCUGCGGAGAGCUACCUGCACGCCCUGCAAGCCUUCCGCGACUCGGGUACAGGGCACCCCGGGGAUGGACCCCAUGGUGCAUGGCACGCGCCAACCGCAGCCCGGGGACAGCCCCACUGGGUUCUCCCACACAGGGCACCCCCAGGGCGGACGGCGAGCGGGUUGUCACCGAGCUGACCCGCACCCUCCAGCUGCAGCUCUGCCUCCAGCGCCUCCCAGCCGUGGUGAGCAGCCCCCCAAGCCGGGGCCGGGAUCUGGGGGGCUGGUGUGGUACAGGGACAGCAGCAAAGCUCUGCGCGCUCCCGAGCCGUGCUUGCACACACCGAGGGAGGGUUGGUUGGUUGGUGGAUGGGGACGUGCGCGUGCAGACCCCAUGCCACCCCGUCACCUUGCUGCUGCCCCACAGGACCUCGUCCCGCUGCAGUUCUGCUCCCCGCUGCCCCACAUCAGUGGGACGCAGCUACGGGGACGCACGGUGUGAGUAGGAUGCUGCCCUGUGCUGCUCUGUGGGGCGUUCCCAGCGUUGCAAACACGGUAAAUCCUCCCUCCCGCAUCCCCAGGUCCUUCCAGGAUACAGCACAGGGUGGGGAUGAGGCUGCACUGGGGGCACUCCCUGGGGGGUCAGGUAAGGGGGUGUACAGGGCUGGGGUGUGCGGGGUUACUGCAUUGGGGGAUGGAGCCCACCCAUGUCUGGGGAAGCGCUGUGUUCACUCCCACCCUGGGCACAGCCCUGGAAAGAGAAAUUUUCCUUCCGGAGAUGGGGGGUGGGCGAUUCUCCCCAGUAUAAGCAAACAAAAGGGGAAUGUCAUGAGCUGGGGGGCCAGCAGUAACCCCCCCCCCCCCAAAACAACGAUCCAACGAGGAACCUCCUGCAAACCAUAACGACACAUUUCUCCCAGCACCAAAGCUGUGCCACCCCCCUGUGCUCCCACCUGCCAUCCCCGCAGUGCUAGUGCUGCGAACAGCCCCCGAGCCCCCCCGAGGUUCCAGGCCCAGAUCCGGGGGCCGGGGGGGCUGCACGGUGCUGUCUCGGCUCUGCAGUCUCCUGUGAGCACUGGGAGGAACACGGAGUGGAGCCGCGCUUCCACCACCCAACGCGGCACGGAGCCGACUGCUUUCCUUGUGCUGUAAAAUCUCCCCCCAUAAAGGCGUGUUUUCA